UACGUAGGUGGCAAGCGUUGUUCGGAAUUAUUGGGCGUAAAGGGCGCGUAGGCGGUUUGUUAAGUCGGCUGUGAAAGCCCGGGGCUCAACCCCGGAGGGUCAGCCGAUACUGGCAGGCUAGAGUACGGAAGAGGAGGGCGGAAUUCCCGGUGUAGCGGUGAAAUGCGUAGAUAUCGGGAGGAACAUCAGUGGCGAAGGCGGCCCUCUGGUCCAGUACUGACACUCAAGUGCGAAAGCGUGGGGAGCAAACAGG
rnacentral:rRNA from 1 species